GUGAAGCCCAGCUUGCUGGGUGGAUCAGUGGCGAACGGGUGAGUAACACGUGAGCAACCCGCCCUCCACUUCGGGAUAAGCCUUGGAAACGGGGUCUAAUACCGGAUAUGAGCUCGCAUCGCAUGGUGUGGGUUGGAAAGUUUUUCGGUGGGGGAUGGGCUCGCGGCCUAUCAGCUUGUUGGUGGGGUGAUGGCCUACCAAGGCGUCGACGGGUAGCCGGCCUGAGAGGGCGACCGGCCACACUGGGACUGAGACACGGCCCAGACUCCUACGGGAGGCAGCAGUGGGGAAUAUUGCACAAUGGGCGCAAGCCUGAUGCAGCGACGCCGCGUGAGGGAUGACGGCCUUCGGGUUGUAAACCUCUUUCAGCAGGGAAGAAGCGCAAGUGACGGUACCUGCAGAAGAAGCGCCGGCUAACUACGUGCCAGCAGCCGCGGUAAUACGUAGGGCGCAAGCGUUGUCCGGAAUUAUUGGGCGUAAAGAGCUCGUAGGCGGUCUGUCGCGUCUGGUGUGAAAUCCCGAGGCUCAACCUCGGGCUUGCAUCGGGUACGGGCAGACUAGAGUGCGGUAGGGGAGACUGGAAUUCCUGGUGUAGCGGUGGAAUGCGCAGAUAUCAGGAGGAACACCGAUGGCGAAGGCAGGUCUCUGGGCCGCAACUGACGCUGAGGAGCGAAAGCAUGGGGAGCGAACAGGAUUAGAUACCCUGGUAGUCCAUGCCGUAAACGUUGGGCACUAGGUGUGGGGCUCAUUCCACGAGUUCCGUGCCGCAGCUAACGCAUUAAGUGCCCCGCCUGGGGAGUACGGCCGCAAGGCUAAAACUCAAAGGAAUUGACGGGGGCCCGCACAAGCGGCGGAGCAUGCGGAUUAAUUCGAUGCAACGCGAAGAACCUUACCAAGGCUUGACAUGUACGAGAAAGCCCCCGAGACGGGGUUCUCUUUGGACACUCGUACACAGGUGGUGCAUGGUUGUCGUCAGCUCGUGUCGUGAGAUGUUGGGUUAAGUCCCGCAACGAGCGCAACCCUCGUCCUAUGUUGCCAGCGGGUUAUGCCGGGGACUCAUGGGAGACUGCCGGGGUCAACUCGGAGGAAGGUGGGGAUGACGUCAAAUCAUCAUGCCCCUUAUGUCUUGGGCUUCACGCAUGCUACAAUGGCCGGUACAGAGGGCUGCGAUACCGUAAGGUGGAGCGAAUCCCAAAAAGCCGGUCUCAGUUCGGAUUGGGGUCUGCAACUCGACCCCAUGAAGUCGGAGUC
rnacentral:rRNA from 1 species